ACAAAACUUCCCCUAACCAUUGUGAACGUUACCUAUACCGUUGCUUCGGCGGGCGGCCCCGGGGUUUACCCCCCGGGCGCCCCUGGGCCCCACCGCGGGCGCCCGCCGGAGGUCACCAAACUCUUGAUAAUUUAUGGCCUCUCUGAGUCUUCUGUACUGAAUAAGUCAAAACUUUCAACAACGGAUCUCUUGGUUCUGGCAUCGAUGAAGAACGCAGCGAAAUGCGAUAAGUAAUGUGAAUUGCAGAAUUCAGUGAAUCAUCGAAUCUUUGAACGCACAUUGCGCCCGCCAGCAUUCUGGCGGGCAUGCCUGUUCGAGCGUCAUUUCAACCAUCAAGCCCCCGGGCUUGUGUUGGGGACCUGCGGCUGCCGCAGGCCCUGAAAAGCAGUGGCGGGCUCGCUGUCGCACCGAGCGUAGUAGCAUACAUCUCGCUCUGGUCGCGCCGCGGGUUCCGGCCGUUAAACCACCUUUUAACCCAAGGUUGACCUCGGAUCAGGUAGGAAGACCCGCUGAACUUAAGCAUAUCAAUAAGCGGAGGACAAAGUUGCAAAACUCCCUAAACCAAUGUGAAAGUUACCUAUCCGUUGCUUCGGCGAGGCGGGCCCAGGGGUUUUACCCCCGGGGCGCCCU
rnacentral:rRNA from 1 species